rnacentral:lncRNA from 1 species
GUGUGUGUGUGUGUGUGUGUGUGUGUGUGUGGACUGAUUAUGGACUGAGCUGUGAGAGUCUAGGUUGGAACCCUGGAGGUAGAAACACAACCCAACUCUGAACUGAACUCCCAGAAUGAGUCUAGACAGACGGAGGGAAACGGCCCCAUGAUAUAAGAGACUGGACUCAUAUGAACCACACAGACAUAUUGACAUAGAUAUUAUCUCCUGUUUGUAGCCACUAUCUCCAUUUCAAAGAGAUCUACUGAAGAGACUAUUAGAGAGAGAGACCAUACAUUUCCUUUAUUUGUGUGAGUAUUGGGCCGAGCAGAACCAAGGAUAGUAUGUGUGUUUCAGCUGCUGGUUCUGUUUUGGUUUACAGAUGCUGAAAUUGCCCUGAAGCCAUUUUUGAAUACAAAAACCUUCUCAUAAAAAAAACACACAGAAUGCUCAUGUAUGAAUUGGAUCCCAGGAAGUAUUCUGCCAUUUUGACAGAUACCUGAACAAUGAACAUGUUUACUUCACCUGUGUGUUUUGUGUAUCUCCCAAAGAUAGAUAUAUAAUUUGUAAUGUGGAUAUUUCAGACAUUGGACAGAAUAGCACAAAAAGAACCCUGUAAGAUGUUGACCACGUUAAGCUCAAUAUGUAUUCAUUCUAUGCUAGCCUAAGCUUUCUGUUCUGCUGAUGCCUGACCGUGGGGUCUCAUGAAGACUGUAUUUAUACUGGGUUGUAAAUAACACUGAACUCAGAAGUGCAUCUCGUUUUACAUGUUUUGUGUCUUUCUGUUCUUGAGAAAAAGUGUGAUGCUUUGGAAAACACACCGUGAUUGUCAGUCUGUAGGAUAUGUCUAUGGUGUUGGUUUAGCUGCAUCUUUGGUUCAAUUGAUAUAUUGGUCCUUGUGUAUCUGAAGAAGCUGCAGUGCUCAGAACGACCUGCAGGGGUCUCCCUCCCACUGAGAAACACUAGAUCAGUUCCUAUAGAACAGGGCUGGCCAGUAUUCUAACAGAGGGUCGGUAUGGUGUAGGCUUUUGCUCCAGCCAAGCAGAAACACACCUGAUUCAAUAUCCUCUGGUGGAUGUUAUCAUUGGAUGUUGAUGCAACACCACACACAUCUUUAAAUGCAGUGUUAACCUACAGCAGGGUUUCCCUGUGGUGUAGUAGGAGCUACACGAAGGUAUACGCCCUGAACCCCACAGAGGUUUAAACAGUGGUGUAGUAGGAGCUACACGGAGGUAUACGUCCUGAACCCCACAGAGGUUUAAACAGUGGUGUAGUAGGAGCAACACGGAGGUAUACGCCCUGAACCCCACAGAGGUUUAAACAGUAGUGUAGUAGGAGCUACACGGAGGUAUACGUCCUGAACCCCACAGAGGUUUAAACAGUGGUGUAGUAGGAGCUACACGGAGGUAUACAUCCUGAACCCCAAAGAGGUUUAAACAGUGGUGUAGUAGGAGCUACACGGAGGUAUACGCCCUGAACCCCACAGAGGUUUAAACAGUGGUGUAGUAGGAGGUAUACGCCCUGAGCCCCACAGAGGUUUAAACAGUGGUGUAGUAGGAGCUACACGUAGGUAUACGUCCUGAACCCCACAGAGGUUUAAACAGUAGUGUAGUAGGAGCAACACGGAGGUAUACGUCCUGAACCCCACAGAGGUUUAAACAGGGGUGUAGUAGGAGCUACACGGAGGUAUACGCCCUGCGCCCCACAGAGGUUUAAACAGUGGUGUAGUAGGAGCUACACGGAGGUAUACGUCCUGAACCCCACAGAGGUUUAAACAGUGGUGUAGUAGGAGCAACACGGAGGUAUACGUCCUGAACCCCACAGAGGUUUAAUUAUGUGGUACAAUAGAGAAAGUAGCCUACACAAUCGCAAAGCACGUAAAAUAUAUUCACACGUUUGCUGCACACAGCCAAAUUUCAGCAGAAUUUCAUGGCAGUAAGAGCUGGUUGUCCCAUGGAGCAGCUCACAGCUGGUAGGUAGGACUUGCCUAGUUAAAUAAAGGUUAAAUGAAUCAAAUCAAAUGACAAUGGGUAAGCAAACCAGGUAUUGAAACCGUUUGGUCCAAAGUCUUGGUUGAAUCUUUGCAGUGUUCAAUUCAGUCAUCAUGUGCUGUUUUGAAUGAACAUUUCCAAAUGCUUUCCCAAGGAAAACGUCCUAAUUAAAGCUGCAAUAUGUAACUUUGGGCGACCCAACAAGUUCACAUUGACAUAUCUUUAACUCACAUUUCUUUCUCAUUGAAAGCAAGUCUAAUAAGUGGUAGAUAUGUUCUAUGUGCACUAUUUCUAUGCUUCCCAUUCUUAAGUUUAGUUUUUAUUUUGUUUUGUACACCAGUUUCAGAUGGCUGAAAAUACAAUAUUUUUGGUUAUGGAAAAUAUAUUGCAGAGGUUUAGAUGGUACAAAGAGACUCUAUACAAUUACUUAGUCACAUAAACUGAAAUUAACAGAAAUUAGGCGAACUUAGAAUUUUAGCAACCAGGAAAUGUCGGAGAUAUUUCUGUAUAGUGCAUCUUUAAAUGUUGACCGCAAGUUAGGCCUACGUGAUAUAAUUAUGAUUUGUAUCAAUCUGGAGGGCAUUUCUUUUGAAAACUCUUCCAUCACAUGUACUCUACUGUAGGUCUACAUUGUAGAGUACAGACACUGCCAGCCACAUGCUAUUUUGCUAGGUGCUUAAUUAUUUUAAAGGGCAACUAGACCCUCCCAAAAAUAUUCUUUUAGAUUUUUCCCAGACCUCAGAAAUGGUCUCCUUAUGUGGUAUAAGCAUUGAUGUGGGCUUAACAUGCAUUUGUUGUUUUUCUAUGAAAGAUUUUCUGUCAAAAUGAUGGUAUACUCACUUCUCCAGGCACCACUACACCAAUGGGUUUUCCUGUAUCUGUGAGUGAUUUCAUUUGGGACCUGAAUCUCCAACAGGCUUACUUCUGACAGGCUUGGUCUGUUUACUCGAUGGAUCAUCAUGCAUCACUCCCAUAGGCUGCUUCACUUGUCAAUCAUGUCUCUGCUAUCUCGCCCUCUAAUCUGCGAUAUCUCUCUCUCAAACACUCUGUCUCUCGUCGUCAACUCUUUCUUUCAGUAAGAUAUUAAGCAAGCUCUACUUCUCUUAUCCUACAGUAUCUUCACCUGUCUGACAAAUCAAGCAGAUGAGAAAAUAAAACAAUCUGAAGAGAACCACACAGGGUUGAAUUGAUGAAAGCUGAAGUCAUUUAGAAAUUUAACUUAUUGACUUAUUGUAAUGAAAUGUAACAUUAUUUUAAAUGAAAUG